rnacentral:rRNA from 1 species
GUGGGGAAUAUUGGACAAUGGGCGAAAGCCUGAUCCAGCCAUGCCGCGUGUGUGAAGAAGGUCUUCGGAUUGUAAAGCACUUUAAGUUGGGAGGAAGGGCAGUAAGUUAAUACCUUGCUGUUUUGACGUUACCGACAGAAUAAGCACCGGCUAACUUCGUGCCAGCAGCCGCGGUAAUACGAAGGGUGCAAGCGUUAAUCGGAAUUACUGGGCGUAAAGCGCGCGUAGGCGGUUUUGUAAGUUGGAGGUGAAAUCCCCGGGCUCAACCUGGGAACUGCCUCCAAAACUGCAUGACUAGAGUACGGUAGAGGGUAGUGGAAUUUCCUGUGUAGCGGUGAAAUGCGUAGAUAUAGGAAGGAACACCAGUGGCGAAGGCGACUACCUGGACUGAUACUGACACUGAGGUGCGAAAGCGUGGGGAGCAAACAGGAUUAGAUACCCGAGUAGUCC